CCCAAUUGACCCGACCCAAACCCACUUAAAACUAACCCGCCCCCAGAUCUUUUAAUCCUUGACGUUGAUCACACAGAUCAGCGGCCCACACUUCACUUACUAUAAUUAAAUCCUUAAAACCCCUAACCCUAAACUCAUUCUUCCAAACUCACCGCCUCUGAAUCCCUAAAGCUCUCAAACCCUAAACCAUCUCCGGCUGUCUCACCGGCGUUCAUGGUCGCCCAAGACCUGAAACUCCUUCAUCCGUUCACUCUUCACUUCUGCUAGUCCUUGGGUUCGAAGACCGAAGCUGUAUAUCAAGGGUGGUUGGACCAGAGGUCCUCCGAUGGGUUUUUGCAGUCGUGUCUGGUCUUUCUACGACAAGUCUUAAGGCUCUGAUUCCUUUGCCGAUUCCGACGAGUCCGUUCCAAGUUUUUCUCGUCAUUUCAAGACUUUUCUAUGAAAACCUUAACUUCUUGAGGUUUUUCUCUGUGUUUAUUUUUAUGAUUCUCUCUGAGUCCUAGUGAUUUUCUAAAAGUUUCAAAGUUUCCUCAUCUCUUUUUCGCAUAUUUGUAUUUUCAAGCAAUUCGUCC
rnacentral:lncRNA from 1 species